AGCGCAGUACCUAUAUAAGUAAGCGCGAUAAGGCAGCGUGUGACGCGCGUUCCCCCUCGGCAGCUCCUUGGCUCAGUGGAAUUUGCACGCUCGGAUAUUUGUGUUUCUCUCGCCUAUCGUUCACGUUUCCUAGGUUUAGGUCCACCGUCCUCCUCCUGCACUGCCUUGAGCUCUAACACCUCCAUUACUGUUUAUAACAGUGUAUUUAUUACGUAAUGUAUAUACUGUAAUGUUUUGUAAGUUAUUAAUUUAUAUGAAUUAACAUCGCCUGUCGGCGGCGAUGUUAAUUGUGUAGAAAACUCGGAAUAAGAGUUGCCUUUUUUUCUUGUAACCUUUUGUAUUGCAUAAAAUACAAGAACCUGAACAUAGCUGAAGAGACAGACGCAACCCAGGAAGGGCAUUUGGGUGGCAGCCGCCCGCAGGGGGGGUUCAGCGGACCCUGGGGCAGCGGGCGAGGGGUUGGAAAUGCUGAAAACCUAGAGGGGGGGGAACCAAAACCAGAACCCCCCGCAAACGGGCCGACUUUUAAAUGUCACGUUCCAAUUUCUGAACAGCCCAAUGUGAAUUUCUAUGACAAAAAUGUGAACUGAUGUAAUAAUUGUGCUGUGAAACUUCUUCUGACAAAGCUUGUCCGGCAUCGUGAGCGGUGUCAAUCUCAGUUUGUAAAAUAUGUUUCAAGCUUUUGGUCCAACUUGUGACUAACUAGUUAAUGAAAAUAGCACAGUUGUGCAUGAUCAAUGGGUUUGUAUGUCUGUUGAACACUGCAUUGUUCCAGGUGGUUAUUUUAUUGUUUCCAAAAGUUUCACACAAUGUAUGUUAUAGUAUUAUAUAUUGUGUUCAGAUGCAUUCUUAAGAGAUUUUUAUAUGAAGUGAAUAAAUGAAAGCAUGACCC